UAUCGUUUUUCUAUUCACCUACUUAGC
rnacentral:piRNA from 1 species